rnacentral:lncRNA from 1 species
UACAAAUUAAUUAAUAUGGUAAGUAAAACAAAUUUCACCCCAAAUCAAAAGUAUUAAUGAAAUGUUUGGAUACACAUAAAAAAUAGGACAAGUAAAUAAAUAAAAAAGAACACUCAAUGUAAAUGAACUUUUGUUUUUAUUUCUUCAGUGAUAUCUUCAAUCCUACUUUAAUGAUUUCUGUCCUUUCACUCUGAUUACUAUAUAAUCAACUGGCCACACCAUUGGGCACAGGUAACUCUGCAUUUAUAGCGGUUUCUACCUUCGGUGGACCUGAAUGACGCCUUGGCCUCGCAGGCGAAGCCGGGAAAGAAAGGCGCUUUUUUGCAGUUCCAAAGGAUCCUUUUUCUUGUUUGCCAUUUUCCUUUGCUAAUGGACUUUGACUUUGUGUCCUCAACCUAGCUUUCGCAGAUUGAGUCGGCACCAUAUAACUUGGAACUGAUGGAGAGCUAGCAAGACUUUCAUCAUCUCUAACUGAUGACCCGGCAAUAGAGUGCCUGCGGAACCGAUCUGACUGUACACUUGCCAUGCUUUUGGAAUCAUCAUCCAUAACCCAGCUUCCCUUUGGACUUGCCUUCUUCAGUUUCCUGGCAACUGAAGCAGAAGCCGGCUUAGUAGGAGUUGAAUUGGACUGAAAGCUGGGUGAGCCAGGAUUUUGGCUCGCUACUGGAGAAUGUAUUUCAGAGUUGAGCUGGAAACGGGCAAAUGAUUUGCUGAUUUCUCCACCUAUAAUGCUGCGGCUCGAACUUUUAACAGAUGAAUGAUCAUUUAGUUCUU